GGGUGGGGGAGGCAGUGAUGCAGGUGGUGACAGAAAAAUGACCCCAUCAUGGAACAAUUCAGGGGAAGCCUAGUACAGCAGAGCAGAUACUUAGUUGCUGUUGUUGAUGAGAUUCUGCUUGGGAUCCCAGCCUGCAGCUGCUCUUGGCAUUAGUGAGAGAUUCGGGGGGGCUGCUGCCAGGUUACAAGAGUUCAGAACAUGCCGGCCCAGGGGUGACUCCCCCCGCUGUCAUUCUGGCACUUGCAGAAAAGCAUAGCGGUUUCCCUGGCUCCAUUUCUGAGGGUCAUGGGGCCAUGAAACAUCUCCAGGUCUUUUGGAGAGGUACCACUAACCCUGCAUGUUCACUUUUCUGCCUCAAUACUUCGGAGUCAGCUGACAAUUUAAACUCUAAGGGGAAAAUAAGUACCCCUCUCUUGCUCAACUCGGUGGAGUUGUUUUAACUGAAAGAGGAUUGUGUGUUCCUCAUCUUGGACUUGGUGAUGGUAACAGAAAAGGACAGACCUCAUGGGUCUCAUCUCAGCCAAAGUGGGGUCCCAGGUGGGGCAGCAGGGCAGGUCACUGGGGCACCCCUCUGGAAAGGACAUUAACUAGCACUGAGAGUGAAAGGAAGACAGGGUCAAAUUGAUCAGAACUCUACUCAGGGCAGAGACAAAACUGGUUUGUCAUGAUUGUGCUGCUUGGGAUGGGAGGCUGAUCAUCUCAAGAGGCACAUUGAGUAGCAAUGGAUGCUUCCUGAACUGCCUCCCGAGGAGGAUGGAAGCCACUGACUGGUUUGCCGAGCAGGAUGUGGCAGUCUGGGCUAGGGUCGGAUCGCUGGGGACAUUAUAGAAAAGAUCGAGUUCGACCACCUCUUCCAUCCUUCCUGUCUGAAGCUCUCAGCCACUCUUCUACAUGAGCACUUACCCAACAUUUUAAUGCCUUUGGGAGAAGACGACAAGUUUCUGCCCCUGAACUGCCUUCGCUGCCGCUUUGGUAAAGGCUUGCAACGAAAGGGAGUAACAGCCACUGGCGGAUCCAGUUUGUGCAAGCAGCAUCAGCAAUGGAUGAGACCUCCCCCAGGCUGGAAGAAGACUGGAAAAAAGGCCUUCAGCGAGAAGCGAGCUGGCAGACCAGCGGUCUUGACAGAAGACAGAGUAAGGUCUGUGUGUGAUCUUUUCACUCUAAUAGCCCAUUUCCUGAUUCACAAAGCACUCCAGUGGAUAAAACAAAGAGGGUUCUUUACUGCAUUGUACGGACCAUUUGCUGAACAGGUUUGCCAUCAUGCCAAAGGUAUAGCACUUCUAAAGAUUUUUGCUGUUCUGAAGUGCAUUCUGCAUUCCCAUGGCUCUGUGUAG
rnacentral:lncRNA from 1 species